rnacentral:lncRNA from 1 species
GUCUCGGGGCGCGGCGGCGGACCGCGGCGCAGCGGGGUACGUCGGCGUGUUGCGGCGCGGCGCGUCACUCUGUCGCGACGUGGCGUGGCGGCGUCAUCGUGGCACAGCGCGUCAUCGUGUCGUGACAUGUCGGCGUGUCGUGACAUGUCAUCGUGUCACCACAUCGCGUCACUGUGUCAUGACGUGUCAUGUCACAACAUCGUCAUCGUGUCACAGCGCGUCGUGGUGUCAUGACAUGUCGUUGUGUCGUGACAUGACAUCAUGUCACCACAUCGCGUCACUGUGUUACGACGUGUCAUGUCACAACAUUGUCAUUGUGUCACAGCGCGUCGUUGUGUCAUGACAUGUCGUCAUGUCACGACAUGACAUCGUGUCACCACAUCGCGUCACUGUGUCACAACGUGUCCUGUCACAACAUCGUCAUCGUGUCACAGCACAUCAUGGUGUCAUGACAUGUCGUUGUGUCAUGACAUG